rnacentral:rRNA from 1 species
CCUACGGGUGGCAGCAGUGGGGAAUAUUGCACAAUGGGCGAAAGCCUGAUGCAGCAACGCCGCGUGAAGGAAGAAGGGUUUCGGCUCGUAAACUUCUAUCAACAGGGACGAAAGAAAUGACGGUACCUGAAUAAGAAGCCCCGGCUAACUGCGUGCCAGCAGCCGCGUUAAUACGUAGGGGGCACGCGGUAUCCGGAAUUACUGGGUGUAAAGGGUGGGUAGGCGGCAUGGUAAGCCAGAUGUGAAAGCCUUGGGCUUAACCCGAGGAUUGCAUUUGGUACUAGCAAGCUAGAGUACAGGAGAGGAAAGUGGAAUUCCUAGUGUAGCGGUGAAAUGCGUAGAUAUCAGGAAGAACACCAGUGGCGAAGGCGGCUGUCUGGACUGAAACUGACGCUGAGGCGCGAAGGCGUGGGGAGCAAACAGGAUUAGAUACCCUUGUAGUC